UUCAGGCGUCAGUGUUUAUCCUAACUCUGGAGGCUGAGGCGGAGGGGAGGAGAGGAGGCUGAAGAAGCGUGCCGUUUCAGCCACAGGCUUGCCCACCUACCUCCCCACGCCCAGCAGCACUCUUUCCUGUCCCCUCACCUGUCGUGGGCGCAGAGCUUCGGUGUCCAGUGACCUCUUGGUUUUCGCUCCGCGAGCUGUCCCGACGGCGGGUGCCUCCGGAGGCAGAGAAGGAGGCGGCGGGGUCGGGGGCGUCAGCGGGAAUCCUGGCAGCCACUAGCAGCCGCGGUCUCCCUACCCAUCCUGGCGGGGCUCGGGCAGCGGACGCGGCGCGGUCACCGGGGGCGGAUGAGUCAGGCGAGGGGGCUCGGACCCGGGGGCGCGCCGCUGCUUGUACCCGCCCGGGGCUGCGGGGUCGCCGGCCGCCGCCAUCGGGCGCGCAGAGUCCAAGCGUUCCUGCCCUCCGAGGGCGCGGGCACCGAGGGCAGCGAGCGAGGCAGGGGCAAGGGACCACUGCUCAGGCGUUGCCGCCGCUUCCAAGAAAGACAAAAGGACCCCCAGUCUCGCCGAUGUGCCCCCGAGUCGCAAAGUUGCACUUCUAGAGCCCAGGUCAGCCUCCGACAAAAUCCAUCUUGGAGAACAAAGUACCGCUUUCAGGCGCCCUUUGCAGGGCUGAAGGCCAGAGGGCGGAAACGGACACACCCACUCACCUCUGGUUGCUGCGGGACCCGGGUUCCAAAGUCAGAGAUCCCUUUCCUGCGGUUCCCUGCUGCACUGGGGGAGCCCCAGCCGAUUUGGGGAUUUUCUUGGAGCCGGCGCCUCAGGACCCUCGGUUCCACGCCCCUCAAACGCUUUCUUAUCAGAUGCCACCUUGGCGGGUCGGGGUCCCCCUGGCGGCUGCGCGAGUGCUGCUGAAAAAGAACCAAACCAGACCCACGGGGAGAACUGCCCCCAGUGCCCAGCCCUGGGGAGAGCAGUUUAGGGAACGAGGGUCCAGGGCUUGAGGAGUCAGAGCUAGGACUGAGGCGGAUUAAGUCGCUCAGGGCUCCAAUAAACAAUGCUGAAGUUAAACUCCAAAUGUCAAAGUCAACGUGGGAUUGACUUUGCCCCUCCUCCUUGUCUCAGUGAGUGGAAACUGUGCCCUAUUCGUCAAAUAAUACAAUAGUUACCCCCAAUUCAGCAGAGAUAGAGUGAUGACUGUAUACAUGAAGGUCAAUUCAAUAAGUUUAUCGUAUAAUUCUGAAUUACUGAAUAUUCCAACCAACACACUGACGUGUGCAAAGCACACCAGCCCCCUGCGGUAGUGAUAUGGUAAAUCUGUGUGUUCCUGGAUGGUUUUCAGUGAUAAACUGGAAGGAAAUAUGGUAUUCUGGUGCUGUCCAUUUGUGUAUUUCAAUAUGUGAUCUGCUGAUAUCACUUUCGAGAAAAGUCUACUUGGGGGGUAGAAAAUGUAUGGAGAGGGGGCUGUCUUCCAUACAAAAAUUUCCACAUUAAAAGAAAAUCUUGGAAAUUAGACAUGGGGAUGAAGAAAGACUGUGGAAAUGGGGGGGGGGGACUGGGAUUGUGGCUCAGCGGUAGAACGCUCGCCUCGCACGUGCAGGACCCUGGGUUCUAUCCUCAGCACCACAUAAAAAAGUGAAAUAAAGGUAUUGUGUCCGACUACAACUAAAAUAAAUAAAUAAACAGU
rnacentral:lncRNA from 1 species